rnacentral:misc_RNA from 1 species
UCUUCAUCAUCAUCAGACAUUGUUGCACCUGUACCUUCACCUGGAGAAACUCCUGUUAAGCUUUGCAGGGAUUGCUCUAUCUCCCAGCAAGCCAUUACUGCUUCCAUUGCAUGGAUUCGAACGUGUUGCUGCAAUUGUUCUUUAAAGGAACAAAGCAACAGAAAAUAAUGUGUCAUGAACUGAUCAAGCUCCUUAUCAUCAACGACCAUUCCCUGAGUCCCGCCGCCGAGGGCGGAGUAUUUAGCCACUACGUGCUGUGACUGGGGAAGCUGAGCGUCAAUUCUCGGCAACUGAUCCACCGGCGUUGCGAUCCGCAAACACGCCACAUGUGCCGACAACAAUUGGUCAUACAAAGGAUGAGACAGUAUCUCCGCCUUGUAUCUUGCAUUCUGCCAGUUAACCACUCCCUCCCCACCUCCGCUACCGCCUCCAUCACUCUCAACCAUCCCUCCUUCACUCUUAUUAUUCAUGGUCUCACCGUUGUUAUUGGUGUUGGUUUUCAAAUCGGCUGAUUCGUGGGAAAUAUUGCCUGCGAUGAUAGAGUCAGCGGCCGUUGCAACAGUAACAUCAUCUAUGACAUCGCUGUGGUUGCGGUUGAGGAGGGAGGAGGAGCGGGAAAGCCAUUGGGUAGGAUUCUGGGAAGCAGUGGAAUCGGAGUUGGUGGUAGAAGUAGUGGUGUGAAGAUUUAAAAAAUUAUUAUUACUGGUGAAGUGGGAGUGGGAUGAUGGUGGUUGUGGUUGUUGGGUACGGAGGAGAGCAGUGUUAAGCCAAUUUGGUGCGGUGGUGCUUUCAGGUAUAUUUUGCUGCUGUUGCUGUUGUUGUUGGGUUUGUGGUGGUUGAGUUUGCUCUGCAGAGAAAUGGUGAAGAGGAAGUUCUUGAGAAAGGUUUUGAUGAAACGCCAUGUUUGUUAAAAAUUUCUCGUUUAGUCUUUGUAUCUGAGAAAGAAAGAAACAAAUAAAGAAAGAGAACCCGAUUAUAAAAACAUGGAUAUAGAUAGAAAGAGAAAGCGAGGUGUGUACUGAGCAGAAAGGAAGAAAACGAUGGAGAGAGAGAGAAAGAGAGGGAGAGAUUGGUUUUUUACAGUUGC